GUUCUUGUCGGCCUCAUUUUUCCUUGCUCGGGGUUUGAGGUGCUACUUUACAUUCAAAAGGAUGGGAGUACACUCUCUUUUCAGAAUAUGGUUCAUCUCAAAGCCCUUUACACUUUGGAGCCAGGCCUGUUCAAGUUUACAAAUAGCANAUUUUGCUUGUAGUCAGGGUACUGUGACAACGUGAAGAGCUCAAGCUGCCUCCCAGGAUGAGUACAGGUUUUCCUGGUGAUGAUGAAUCUCAGGCAUUCAAAGGUUCUGUUAGCAGUGCCAUGCUUGUUGGCUCACAGAGAGGGUGUGUCUGGCUGAGAGCAAAGGAGCCAUACCAGGAAAGUUAAAGCGUAUUUUCAUCUUCAAGUCCAGGCUAAAAUAAGGUCUGAGGAAAAGAAUGAGCUGUGAGUGAAAGAUAGGAACAGAAAUCAUGAAAGAUCUGUUUGUCCAGGCCAGUGUUUCACCAUAAGAGAUCACUUUAAAAUAGAUGAAAUAAUUCUUUGCAAUUGCAAAUUUACCUUCCUUGCUUAACCACAUUCAUUGUUAACUGUAGGAGCUGAUAUCUGGUCCUUCCAUUGAUGACUUGUAGCUCUGUAUUCUAGCAAUAAACGCUCUUUAUGCUA
ensembl:processed_transcript uncharacterized LOC110285832